UCUGCAAUCAAAGUGGGCUUUCCUUAAAGCCGCACCUGAUUGGACGAACAAAAUCAGGCGCAACACGAUUGGACGGCCAAGUCAGCGUAGGCGUUUCUACAGGAAACGAAGUUAACGUAUUCAGUUCGAUGUUUUUCUUUUCAUUUAAAUAUCGCUAGCUUACUU